UACAGAGGUCUCAAGCGUUGUUCGGAUUCAUUGGGCGUAAAGGGUGCGUAGGCGGCGCGGUAAGUCGGGUGUGAAAUCUCGGAGCUUAACUCCGAAACUGCAUUCGAUACUGCCGUGCUUGAGGACUGGAGAGGAGACUGGAAUUUACGGUGUAGCGGUGAAAUGCGUAGAUAUCAGGAGGAGCACCAAUGGCGAAGGCAGCACUCUGGGACGGUACUGACGCUGAGACGCGAAAGCGUGGGGAGCAAACAGG
rnacentral:rRNA from 1 species